AGAGUUUGAUCCUGGCUCAGAUUGAACGCUGGCGGCAUGCCUUACACAUGCAAGUCGAACGGCAGCACGGGGGCAACCCUGGUGGCGAGUGGCGAACGGGUGAGUAAUACAUCGGAACGUGUCCUGUAGUGGGGGAUAGCCCGGCGAAAGCCGGAUUAAUACCGCAUACGCUCUACGGAGGAAAGGGGGGGAUCUUAGGACCUCUCGCUACAGGGGCGGCCGAUGGCAGAUUAGCUAGUUGGUGGGGUAAAGGCCUACCAAGGCGACGAUCUGUAGCUGGUCUGAGAGGACGACCAGCCACACUGGGACUGAGACACGGCCCAGACUCCUACGGGAGGCAGCAGUGGGGAAUUUUGGACAAUGGGCGCAAGCCUGAUCCAGCAAUGCCGCGUGUGUGAAGAAGGCCUUCGGGUUGUAAAGCACUUUUGUCCGGAAAGAAAUCCUUUGGGCUAAUACCCUGAGGGGAUGACGGUACCGGAAGAAUAAGCACCGGCUAACUACGUGCCAGCAGCCGCGGUAAUACGUAGGGUGCAAGCGUUAAUCGGAAUUACUGGGCGUAAAGCGUGCGCAGGCGGUCCGCUAAGACAGAUGUGAAAUCCCCGGGCUUAACCUGGGAACUGCAUUUGUGACUGGCGGGCUAGAGUAUGGCAGAGGGGGGUAGAAUUCCACGUAGCAGUGAAAUGCGUAGAGAUGUGGAGGAAUACCGAUGGCGAAGGCAGCCCCCUGGGCCAAUACUGACGCUCAUGCACGAAAGCGUGGGGAGCAAACAGGAUUAGAUACCCUAGUAGUCC
rnacentral:rRNA from 1 species